rnacentral:piRNA from 1 species
UGGCAACGAAGAGGGGACUGAGUCUCUGGU